UUAACAUAAAAAAUAAAUAAAAAUCACAGAAGCGAUAUUAUUCAAAACCAACGACAGAGAUCGAUUGGGCUGGUCGACAAGCACAUUUUGAUACUAGUGAAAUAUUGCUGCGCGCGCGUUGAAAUUUCUAUUUAUUUUUUGUGUGUGUGACGGCUGUGUGGGGAGCCGAGGAACAGAGCUGUUGGCGCCACUUUCAAAUCCUGCACUGACACAGUUAGUCCGUCUUCAAACACAUUUAAGUUACACACCACUUAAUUUCUCUUUUUCAUAAUUACUGUUAGACGAGGAAUAUCUUAACACCCCUUCUCUUUUGGACAGUUUUUUCUUCGGAAGCAGGUGGAUGUGUGAAAGUCUCCCUGUAAGAUGCUGACGGCCACACCGUCACCGUGAGUGGAGUUUCCGUAAAUGCCAAAAAGAGGAAAUCCGAUCCCUUCAGUCAUCACUAAAGCUGUGUGAAGCCAAUGGAAGACACUACAGCACAUUCACAGACACAGAAAGCUGCUAAUAAACUGACCAACUUAACCAAGCCUGCCUCAGUACUUAUUCAACAAGUACUUGUGUCUGGAUAUUCUUUGAUUUCUGUGUGUGUGUGUGUGUGUGUGUGUGUGUGUGUGUGUGUGUGUGUGUGUGUGUGUGUGUGUGUGUUUUGAGAAUAGCAGUCAGUGUGUCAGGCUG